CCUACGGGAGGCAGCAGUGAGGAAUAUUGGUCAAUGGGCGCGAGCCUGAACCAGCCAAGCAGCGUGAAGGAUGACUGCCCUACGGAUUGUAAACUUCUUUUAUAAAGGAAUAAAGUGAGGCACGUGUGCCUUUUUGUAUGUACUUUAUGAAUAAGCAUCGGCUAACUCCGUGCCAGCAGCCGCGGUAAUACGGAGGAUCCGAGCGUUAUCCGGAUUUAUUGGGUUUAAAGGGAGCGUAGAUGGGUUGUUAAGUCAGUUGUGAAAGUUUGCGGCUCAACCGUAAAAUUGCAAUUGAUACUGGCAGCCUUGAGUACAGUAGAGGUAGGCGGAAUGCGUAGUGUAGCGGUGAAAUGCUUAGAUAUCACGAAGAACUCCGAUUGCGAAGGCAGCUUACUAAACUGCCACUGACAUUGAUGCUCGAAAGUGUGGGUAUCAAACAGGAUUAGAUACCCCAGUAGUC
rnacentral:rRNA from 1 species